AGGAUCUCCACCCAGAGAAGAGAGAGGCUGAGAAGUUCAGGUUGUGCUUAGCAGAGGAUCAGUUUGAGACCUACACUGACUGCAUCCCCAGGGCUUUCAUCUCUUCUGUUUCCAUUUGUGUAAGGAAGCUGAGAUUCAGAAAGUUCUGCAUAAGAGAGCCAGUGUUUUGAUGUUGCCACACAGAGGAAGAUGGCAACCAGCAGCCAUUUAGCCUUGAAGAGCAGCAACCAACCAUCAGAGAGACCCUGGCUUCCCCAUUGCUGUCAGGAAAAGGAAACACGCCUGCCAAAGGUCACCCAGUUGGAAAGUGGUGGCACUGGGAUCUGCACCCAGCUGGCUGUCCCUGGAGACCCCCAUGAACCAGGGCACAGUGGUGACGACCCAGGAGAGCAGCAGCAACGAAGGCUGUGGAAAGGAUAAGAUUCAGAUGCCCAGAGCUGCAGAGGAAGAGCUUUCCAGGUGGAGGGCGUUCCAUGGGUAAAGGCCCAGUCCUGGGAAUGAAUGGUGUGCACUGAGAACGGAAGGAGCUGAGUGGGAGCUCCCAGGACACCUGGGGUCAAGCCGUGGCACUCCUGAGUGCAGGGCAGGAACGAAGAAACAGACUCUGGGCCUAGGUUCA